rnacentral:tRNA from 1 species
CCUUAGUUAGCUUAAUAAAAAGCCUUAGACUCUUAAUCUAAAAGAAAGUAGUUAAAUCCUACUACUAAGGA